AUUGAACGCUGGCGGCAUGCCUUACACAUGCAAGUCGAACGGCAGCACGGGGCAACCUGGCGGCGAGUGGCGAACGGGUGAGUAAUGCAUCGGAACGUACCUUUCAGUGGGGGAUAACGUAGCGAAAGUUACGCUAAUACCGCAUAUUCUGUGAGCAGGAAAGCAGGGGAUCGCAAGACCUUGCGCUGAUUGAGCGGCCGAGGUCAGAUUAGGUAGUUGGGGAGGUAAAGGCUCACCAAGGCGACGAUCUGUAGCGGGUCUGAGAGGAUGAUGGGCCACACUGGAACUGAGACACGGUCCAGACUCCUACGGGAGGCAGCAGUGGGGAAUUGUGGACAAGGGGGGCAACCCUGAUCCAGCCAUGCCGCGUGAGUGAAGAAGGCCUUCGGGUUGUAAAGCUCUUUCGGCCGGGAAGAAAUCGCACGGGCUAAUACCCUGUGUGGAUGACGGUACCGGAAUAAGAAGCACCGGCUAACUACGUGCCAGCCGCCGCCGUAAAAC
rnacentral:rRNA from 1 species